UUCAUAAAUUUCCUGAAUUAAAAGUUUAACGGAGCAUCAAUACCGCGCCUUGUCCAAUUUGAUUCACAUUAAAGAUGUAUUUGCAUCUUGCUAUCGGUUAUGGGAAGAGUUUAAUACUCCAAAGUUCUAGCACCGAGAGUAGCACGACGACUUGGCAAAAGCCACAAUUUUCUGGAGAAACCCAUCUUAAUAGUCAUUUGCAAAUUGAACUCUUUCAUUGAUUCUCACGUCCGUGAACUAAGAAAGCGUGGAUGACUUCACUGUCAAACGAAGAAGACGAGAAAGCAAUACUAGAUGGAGAGUUUACAUUCGUAUUUUGUAAUCCCGAGUCUAUUAUUCGAAAUGCGAAAUGUAGAGAAAUGGUUUCAUUUGAAAUACACAAGACAAAUUUGCUUGCUUUUGUAUUAACAGACAAAGUUCACGUCGGCCCAUAGAGGUGUGUUUAAUAAAUUUAAAUACAGAUUUUUUUUAAUGUAUAUUGCAGGAUUAAAUUGAAC